AUCUUGGGAGUUGUAGUUCGGCCGGGAACACAAUGUAAACAGUGCCGGCAGAAUGUCCCCAGCCGAACUCACCCAGCUUCCUCGACGUUUCACGGAGAGAUCAGAAGAGGAGGGGGCCGCCGCGGCCGGGGAUGCUUCCCUCGAUGUUCGUGGGUGCGAGCCAAAAUUUAAAGAUUCGGGCCGGAGCGUGCGUUUGUGUCAGCGGCCAACUUAAUGCUAGGCGUCUCGUCUUGUGAAGGUUUCGGAAUUCCGAAAGCGUUAGUCAACACUUCCUCAAACAUUAACCUUCAGACUGGAUGUCAUCCAAAUGGAGACUUGGGAAGAAUGCAAAACUGGGUGGCCUUAGUGUAUUGAACCCUCUGAAACCAAACAGACAAUUAUGAAAGAAAAGUGGAAUCUCAGAGUCAAGGCCAACUGCCACCAGAGGAACAACACGAACUAGACUUUGGAUUGAAUUAUUGCCUCUGUUCUGACUCCCUGGAAAAUAUGCUAAGGGGAGAUGGUUUGGGGAAGGCAAAGUCCCUCCCAGACUGCCAGCUCUCUGAGUAAAGUACUUCUUAAAGAUUUGA